UAUGUCUGGACCAAGCCGAUCAAGGCCCCGAAGGCAGCCACGAACAACAUCUGGGUGGUUAUAUUCGGUCGUUUUCUUUUCGGAUGGUGCCCCCUUUUCUCAAGGCUUUGUUUAUCUGGAGUCACCCUUACAAGGUGGGAUUAUGGAACUGGAAGCGACGUUUUUGUUGUAUUGACGGAAGAAGAAGGUAGAAUGAUUGCACAAAAGGUUUAUGAUGACAGUAACCAAUUCUAUGGUUAUGGAGGCGCCAUAGCCAAUAUAUAUUUAAGUGCCUAUUGCAAUAAGCUGGAGAGAUGGGUAUUAGGGUAUGAGAAGUUUGAAUGUCUUUUCGAUAGUAUGAUACCUAACUUCCUACCAUUUUAUGAAAGCCAAUCUAGGAUUUCAAUUUUCUGGAUACGUAUAAUCAGGCAAGUUAUUGAGAGCCUGUCAGUUCUGCACGGAAAUGGUGUGAUGCAUGGCUCAUUGUAUUCUCCACAAAGCUAUGUUCCAGAUUCGAGCUCGAAUAUAAAGUUAAUUAACAUUGGGAGAUACUCAGUUGCUGGUAGAAGCACCUCUCAUCGUGGUAUCACCAGCUUCUUCGGUUAUCUAGGCAGCCAAAGUUGUCUUGAUGUUUCUUCUUCUAAAGACUGGCACGGAUUCGAGUACUUGUACACUUCUAAGGAGGCUAUGAAUAAUACUAGGUCUUGCUGGAAAGACUCUAUCUUGGGCCACCCAAUUUUGCUUGAGCCACCGUCAAAACUCGUUGCGCACUGGGAUGAUGAACGUAUCCAUGAUGAGAUAUGUGAGCACUUCCCUGGUUUCAUAGCAUGGCGUACUCUGUUCGAGAAGUGA
rnacentral:lncRNA from 1 species